rnacentral:rRNA from 1 species
GUUCGGCCCUCGGCGUACUGCUCAGUAACACGUGGAUAACCUGCCCUAGGGAAGGGGAUAACCCCGGGAAACUGGGGAUAAUACCCUAUAGGUUACAGAUGCUGGAAUGCUCUGUAACCCAAAGUUCCGGCGCCCUAGGAUGGAUCUGCGGCCGAUUAGGUUGUUGUUGGGGUAAUGGCCCAACAAGCCAGUAAUCGGUACGGGUUGUGGGAGCAAGAGCCCGGAGUUGGAUUCUGAGACACGAAUCCAGGCCCUACGGGGCGCAGCAGGCGCGAAAACUUUACAAUGCGGGCAACCGUGAUAAGGGAACCUCGAGUGCCUGUAAAUGCAGGCUGUUCAGGUGCCUAAAACACACCUGAAGAAAGGGCCGGGCAAGACCGGUGCCAGCCGCCGCGGUAAUACCGGCGGCUCGAGUGGUGGCCGCUUUUAUUGGGCUUAAAGCGUUCGUAGCUGGGUUGUUAAGUCUCUUGGGAAAUCUGGCGGCUUAACCGUCAGGCGUCUAAGGGAUACUGGCAAUCUUGGAACCGGGAGAGGUGAGGGGUACUUCGGAGGUAGGAGUGAAAUCCUGUAAUCCUCGAGGGACCACCUGUGGCGAAGGCGCCUCACCAGAACGGCUUCGACAGUGAGGGACGAAAGCUGGGGGAGCAAACCGGAUUAGAUACCCGGGUAGUCCCAGCCGUAAACUAUGCGCGUUAGGUGUAUCGGUGACCACGAGUUACCGAGGUACCGAAGGGAAACCGUGAAACGUGCCGCCUGGGAAGUACGGUCGCAAGGCUGAAACUUAAAGGAAUUGGCGGGAA